GACCAGACUCCUACGGGAGGCAGCAGUGGGGAAUAUUGCACAAUGGGGGAAACCCUGAUGCAGCAACGCCGCGUGAAGGAAGACGGUUUUCGGAUUGUAAACUUCUGUUCUUAGUGAAGAAGAAUGACGGUAGCUAAGGAGCAAGCCACGGCUAACUACGUGCCAGCAGCCGCGGUAAUACGUAGGGGGCAAGCGUUAUCCGGAAUUACUGGGUGUAAAGGGUGAGUAGGCGGCAUGGUAAGCCAGAUGUGAAAGCCUUGGGCUUAACCCGAGGAUUGCAUUUGGAACUAUCAAGCUAGAGUACAGGAGAGGAAAGCGGAAUUCCUAGUGUAGCGGUGAAAUGCGUAGAUAUUAGGAAGAACACCAGUGGCGAAGGCGGCUUUCUGGACUGAAACUGACGCUGAGGCACGAAAGCGUGGGGAGCGAACAGGAUUAGAUACCCUGGUA
rnacentral:rRNA from 1 species